rnacentral:rRNA from 1 species
AGGAUCAUUACCAAGAACCACACAGAAAAGGGAGGCAAAGGGGCCUACAGGGCUAGUAGCUUAUACGUUGUUGAACGUCCUGCCUGGACCCGGAGCCGCCCCCAUCUAAACCCUCUGCGUACCUGUCCCUUCUUGCUUCCCCCGGCAUCUCGUCGGGGGGAGGUAACAACCAAAACUCUCUGUGAAUCAAACAGCCGUCAGAAUUAUAAAACAAACAAAAGUUAAAACUUUCAACAACGGAUCUCUUGGUUCCCACAUCGAUGAAGAACGCAGCGAAAUGCGAUAAGUAAUGUGAAUUGCAGAAUUCAGUGAAUCAUCGAAUCUUUGAACGCACAUUGCGCCCCCUGGUAUUCCGGGGGGCAUGCCUGUUCGAGCGUCAUAAAAACCUCCUCCCCCUUCGGGUUUUGUUACUAUCGUUGGGGGGUUUUGGCCUAAUGGGAUAGCGAUUGGCAAUUCGUUUCCCAAUGUCCUAAAUAGACGUAGACCCGCCUCCAGAUGCGACAGCACCGAGGCCAUCAACCGUGGAGUUAUGGGAUAUAAUAGGCUUGCAGUAAAAUGCUCACCUCUCUCCACACGCCGAUGGCACGACAGUUGCAGUUGCGGGCGUAAAUUGGAGCCCUUUUCAGGACCCUUGUGGCCUAGCAUCCACCAUACAUAAUUUGACCUCGGAUC